UCUGCUCAGAUUGAACGCUGGCGGCAGGCCUAACACAUGCAAGUCGAGCGGAUGAAGGGAGCUUGCUCCUGGAUUCAGCGGCGGACGGGUGAGUAAUGCCUAGGAAUCUGCCUGGUAGUGGGGGAUAACGUCCGGAAACGGGCGCUAAUACCGCAUACGUCCUGAGGGAGAAAGUGGGGGAUCUUCGGACCUCACGCUAUCAGAUGAGCCUAGGUCGGAUUAGCUAGUUGGUGGGGUAAAGGCCUACCAAGGCGACGAUCCGUAACUGGUCUGAGAGGAUGAUCAGUCACACUGGAACUGAGACACGGUCCAGACUCCUACGGGAGGCAGCAGUGGGGAAUAUUGGACAAUGGGCGAAAGCCUGAUCCAGCCAUGCCGCGUGUGUGAAGAAGGUCUUCGGAUUGUAAAGCACUUUAAGUUGGGAGGAAGGGCAGUAAGUUAAUACCUUGCUGUUUUGACGUUACCAACAGAAUAAGCACCGGCUAACUUCGUGCCAGCAGCCGCGGUAAUACGAAGGGUGCAAGCGUUAAUCGGAAUUACUGGGCGUAAAGCGCGCGUAGGUGGUUCAGCAAGUUGGAUGUGAAAUCCCCGGGCUCAACCUGGGAACUGCAUCCAAAACUACUGAGCUAGAGUACGGUAGAGGGUGGUGGAAUUUCCUGUGUAGCGGUGAAAUGCGUAGAUAUAGGAAGGAACACCAGUGGCGAAGGCGACCACCUGGACUGAUACUGACACUGAGGUGCGAAAGCGUGGGGAGCAAACAGGAUUAGAUACCCUGGUAGUCCACGCCGUAAACGAUGUCGACUAGCCGUUGGGAUCCUUGAGAUCUUAGUGGCGCAGCUAACGCGAUAAGUCGACCGCUGGAUUCCCCCA
rnacentral:rRNA from 1 species